rfam:Mus musculus chromosome 13, GRC primary reference assembly.
CCAAAGGCUCUUUUCAGAGCCACCCACUUUCUCAAAGAGAGAGCUG